AGGACAUUGAGUCAGAAGGGUGGCAGGAGUCCUUUGUAAGCCAGGAUAAACAGUUUGGAUUUUUUUUUUUCCAAAAUAAGAUAAACAGUGUAGACUUUUAUGAGAAGGUAUGACAUGAACUAAAUGACAUUUUUACGUCAUUCUGGCUGCUGUAGAGAGAAUGGAAUAGAAGAAGUCAAGAUUGGACAGGACAUGAGUUAGGAGAGAGGGUGAUGGCUUGGACCAAGGUGAUGGUCCUGGAGACAAAGAGAAAUUUGCAGCUUUCAGAUGUGUUUUUACAUGGAAGGAAGAACUGACCAGACAUGCUGAUGGGCUGAACAAGAGGAAUCCAGCCUAAGGAGACAGUCAGAAGUGCUCACCAAGAUUCAGAGGUUCUUCAUUGCCUUACCAUAUUUGUAAGUCACAAACUGGAAGCUACCACAGGGUCCAGCCUUAUGAGAGUGGUGCAGUCAAUCCCAGAUCUUCCAUAUGACAGGGAGCUGGUCAUCCUUCAAAGUGCUGCUUACUAAGAUGACAAUGAGACUGGAAAAUUCUCAUUAAAUAAACAAAUGGCUGGAGUUUGCAUGGUUUGGAUGCCAUUGGCUCUUCCUUAUAGCAGGGAGUUUUUCAGCUGCAAAGAGCGGUGGAGUUCCUCUCUCCCAGCCCACUCAUAAUUCGGCUUAUGUGCAGAAGGCAGAAGACCUUCCCAAGGGUACACAAUGCUUCUGUAAAUAGCAGUUUAUAGACUUCAGCAGAAGAACCAGAAGCAAACAGAGGAAGUGAAAAUGACCACUAGAAGAAAAACUGAUGACAGAAAAACAAAAUCAAUUAGACUUUAUCUUUAAAAAAAUCAACUAUGACUUUAAUUGAUUUCAAAUAAAAUAUUUCGAUCUUUAUGAGAUACAUUAGAUCGUUGAAAGUCAUGCUUACA
rnacentral:lncRNA from 10 species